AGCAAAAUGUUGGAGGUUAAUGUUCUGAAUCUGUGAUUUUGAUAACUGAUGCAGUGGUCAGCAAAGUACCCUUAUUGCU
rnacentral:snoRNA from 1 species